AUUGAACGCUGGCGGCAGGCCUAACACAUGCAAGUCGAACGGUAACAGGAAGAAGCUUGCUUCUUUGCUGACGAGUGGCGGACGGGUGAGUAAUGUCUGGGAAACUGCCUGAUGGAGGGGGAUAACUACUGGAAACGGUAGCUAACACCGCAUAACGUCGCAAGACCAAAGAGGGGGACCUUCGGGCCUCUUGCCAUCGGAUGUGCCCAGAUGGGAUUAGCUAGUAGGUGGGGUAACGGCUCACCUAGGCGACGAUCCCUAGCUGGUCUGAGAGGAUGACCAGCCACACUGGAACUGAGACACGGUCCAGACUCCUACGGGAGGCAGCAGUGGGGAAUAUUGCACAAUGGGCGCAAGCCUGAUGCAGCCAUGCCGCGUGUAUGAAGAAGGCCUUCGGGUUGUAAAGUACUUUCAGCGGGGAGGAAGGGAGUAAAGUUAAUACCUUUGCUCAUUGACGUUACCCGAAGAAGAAGCACCGGCUAACUCCGUG
rnacentral:rRNA from 1 species